GAUGAACGCUGGCGGCGUGCCUAAUACAUGCAAGUCGAGCGAAUGGAUUAAGAGCUUGCUCUUAUGAAGUUAGCGGCGGACGGGUGAGUAACACGUGGGUAACCUGCCCAUAAGACUGGGAUAACUCCGGGAAACCGGGGCUAAUACCGGAUAACAUUUUGAACCGCAUGGUUCGAAAUUGAAAGGCGGCUUCGGCUGUCACUUAUGGAUGGACCCGCGUCGCAUUAGCUAGUUGGUGAGGUAACGGCUCACCAAGGCAACGAUGCGUAGCCGACCUGAGAGGGUGAUCGGCCACACUGGGACUGAGACACGGCCCAGACUCCUACGGGAGGCAGCAGUAGGGAAUCUUCCGAAAUGGACGAAAGUCUGACGGAGCAACGCCGCGUGAGUGAUGAAGGCUUUCGGGUCGUAAAACUCUGUUGUUAGGGAAGAACAGGUGCUAGUUGAAUAAGCUGGCACCUUGACGGUACCUAACCAGAAAGCCACGGCUAACUACGUGCCAGCAGCCGCGGUAA
rnacentral:rRNA from 1 species